UACGAAGGGGGCUAGCGUUGUUCGGAAUUACUGGGCGUAAAGGGCGCGUAGGCGGUGUGUCAAGUCAGGCGUGAAAGCCCCGGGCUCAACCUGGGAACCGCGCUUGAGACUGGCACGCUCGAGUUCGGGAGAGGAUGGUGGAAUUCCCAGUGUAGAGGUGAAAUUCGUAGAUAUUGGGAAGAACACCGAUGGCGAAGGCAGCCAUCUGGACCGACACUGACGCUGAGGCGCGAAAGCUAGGGGAGCGAACGGG
rnacentral:rRNA from 1 species